rnacentral:rRNA from 1 species
AUUGAACGCUGGCGGCAGGCCUAACACAUGCAAGUCGAGCGGAUGAAGGGAGCUUGCUCCUGGAUUCAGCGGCGGACGGGUGAGUAAUGCCUAGGAAUCUGCCUGGUAGUGGGGGAUAACGUCCGGAAACGGGCGCUAAUACCGCAAACGUCCUGAGGGAGAAAGUGGGGGAUCUUCGGACCUCACGCUAUCAGAUGAGCCUAGGUCGGAUUAGCUAGUUGGUGGGGUAAAGGCCUACCAAGGCGACGAUCCGUAACUGGUCUGAGAGGAUGAUCGGUCACACUGGAACUGAGACACGGUCCAGACUCCUACGGGAGGCAGCAGUGGGGAAUAUUGGACAAUGGGCGAAAGCCUGAUCCAGCCAUGCCGCGUGUGUGAAGAAGGUCUUCGGAUUGUAAAGCACUUUAAGUUGGGAGGAAGGGCAGUAAGUUAAUACCUUGCUGUUUUGACGUUACCAACAGAAUAAGCACCGGCUAACUUCGUG